AGCAAAUCAUGGAAAUAAAAUCAGAAUGCAUUAUUUCAAGCAUGAGAAACAUUUUACCAACAUUUAUAUUUGCUAUAUCAACAGUUUCUAUUGGGUGGCACUUCUAGGAAUUUUGAUACUGACAGCAGCUUCAAACAUGACAAAGAUGUGACUGAGGUACAGGUACAUCCUGUGGAAUUACCAUCUGAGCUGGUGUUGCUAUCAAACCUGCAUUGUUUACCGCGGUGAUAUCUCUCUUCUAAAAAAGAAAAGAGAGAGAGAAACAGAUGAAUUCCCCAGAAACUUCUUUUUAGCUGUAGACUAAUCACCUGCUUGAUCCCAAAAUAUGAGACGAGUUCCAUUUCCCAUCCCUUGUCCUGCUUCCCUCCAUUAAAAAUAGUAGGUAUUUGAGCUAACUUCUCUCAGCACAUCAUUUUCACAACUUCUCUGUAAAAUGGGAAUGAUUUUCCUGGUGACUUUGUAAAUUAUGUUUUAUUGUUUAUUUCUAUUUAUGUCAAAGAAAGAUAAUGUGAAAGUGUCAAAACUUGCUAAAUGUAAUAUACAGAUAAAUGUUGGUAAUUAA
rnacentral:lncRNA from 1 species